rnacentral:rRNA from 1 species
AUGAACGCUGGCGGCGUGCCUAAUACCUGCAAGUCGAGCGAACAGAUGAGGAGCUUGCUCCUCUGACGUUAGCGGCGGACGGGUGAGUAACACGUGGAUAACCUACCUAUAAGACUGGGAUAACUUCGGGAAACCGGAGCUAAUACCGGAUAAUAUAUUGAACCGCAUGGUUCAAUAGUGAAAGACGGUUUUGCUGUCACUUAUAGAUGGAUCCGCGCCGCAUUAGCUAGUUGGUAAGGUAACGGCUUACCAAGGCAACGAUGCGUAGCCGACCUGAGAGGGUGAUCGGCCACACUGGAACUGAGACACGGUCCAGACUCCUACGGGAGGCAGCAGUAGGGAAUCUUCCGCAAUGGGCGAAAGCCUGACGGAGCAACGCCGCGUGAGUGAUGAAGGUCUUCGGAUCGUAAAACUCUGUUAUUAGGGAAGAACAAAUGUGUAAGUAACUAUGCACGUCUGGACGGUACCUAAUCAGAAAGCCACGGCUAACUACGU